UGGCCACUUGCCCUUCGCCUGCUCUACAACCAGCUGUGGUUCCCCUGUUGCUGCCAGCAGAUUGGAGUGCACGUCUCCUUCACCACUUUCUCGUUCAUCACUGACCUCCAAGCCUCGCUGGCCUCCUUGCUGAUUCUCAAGCACCCUGAGAUCCUCCAGCACUGGCCAUCUCACCGUGGGCUCCACUCUGCCUGGCCUCCCUCCCUUCUCAUCUUAAGUGGACUGGCGCCUUCUGGCCAUGUAGAUAUCAGAGUUGAGGAAUUUCUUCACGUCCUAUGGUUCAGAUUUCAUCAGAUCAGAGGAAGAUCGUGGCCACCCUGGGCAGGCAGAUUCCUGGAGAUGGCCUUUUCCAGUCAAGAGAUUUCUGAUCCACUGUGCUUGCUUCUGCCAAAUCCCCAGCCUUGGAAGCCAGCAGCUGGUGAAAAGCCAUUGUAUAUCGAUUAAUGCAUAUUUUUUCUAACUUCUUUUCCUCUUCUAUCGUUUCAUAACCAAGCUAUGCCAGGGCCUUGCUUUCAAUUUUUAAAGAGCCAAGGAUCAUUUUCUCAGACUAUUUUAAAAAUGAAGAGAAGGUUCCAACCAGA